rnacentral:rRNA from 1 species
UUGAACGCUGGCGGCAUGCUUUACCCAUGCAAGUCGCACGGCAGCGCGGGCUUCGGCCUGGCGGCGAGUGGCGAACGGGUGAGUAAUGCAUCGGAACGUGCCCAGUAGUGGGGGAUAGCCCGGCGAAAGCCGGAUUAAUACCGCAUACGACCUGAGGGUGAAAGCGGGGGACCGAAAGGCCUCGCGCUAUUGGAGCGACCGAUGUCGGAUUAGCUAGUUGGUGGGGUAAAGGCUUACCAAGGCGACGAUCCGUAGCUGGUCUGAGAGGACGACCAGCCACACUGGGACUGAGACACGGCCCAGACUCCUACGGGAGGCAGCAGUGGGGAAUUUUGGACAAUGGGGGCAACCCUGAUCCAGCCAUGCCGCGUGCGGGAAGAAGGCCUUCGGGUUGUAAACCGCUUUUGUUCGGGAAGAAAUCCUCUGGGCUAAUACCCCGGGGGGAUGACGGUACCGGAAGAAUAAGCACCGGCUAACUACGUG